AAGAAUUUAGUUAAAUCUAUAACAUUAGUUUGUCAAACUAAAAUCAUUAAAAUUAAUAAUUCUUA
rnacentral:tRNA from 1 species